rnacentral:rRNA from 1 species
GACGAACGCUGGCGGCGUGCUUAACACAUGCAAGUCGAACGGAAAGGCCCUGCUUUUGUGGGGUGCUCGAGUGGCGAACGGGUGAGUAACACGUGAGUAACCUGCCCUUGACUUUGGGAUAACUUCAGGAAACUGGGGCUAAUACCGGAUAGGAGCUCCUGCUGCAUGGUGGGGGUUGGAAAGUUUCGGCGGUUGGGGAUGGACUCGCGGCUUAUCAGCUUGUUGGUGGGGUAGUGGCUUACCAAGGCUUUGACGGGUAGCCGGCCUGAGAGGGUGACCGGCCACAUUGGGACUGAGAUACGGCCCAGACUCCUACGGGAGGCAGCAGUGGGGAAUAUUGCACAAUAGGCGGAAGCCUGAUGCAGCAACGCCGCGUGCGGGAUGACGGCCUUCGGGUUAUAAACCGCUUUCGCCUGUGACGAAGCGUGAGUGACGGUAAUGGGUAAAGAAGCACCGGCUAACUACGUG